CCCGCCGUGUGCUUGGCCAUGCAAGAAACAGGAUCCAGAAACUUCCUCCUCCCGUUGCCACGGUGAUGUUCAGUGGUCCCCAUCCCACCUGCCCAAAGGACUGCAGCCCCGGGUUCACCACCCCAAAGCUGAAAUGAAGGUAAAUCUGUUGUGAGAACAGAGGGCUGGAUUUAAGUCUGGAGGAAGGCUUUGGAAAGGAGCGACCAUGGACAUCCCAGAUGGCUGAGCUUGCUAUCGCAGUCCAGUCCUACCUUCCCUAUCUGUGCAAUAUCAUUAUCUUCACAGCAAGAGGAACAAAGGAGACUUCAUUAUUAGGGCAGCUUGGG
rnacentral:lncRNA from 1 species